GGUUAAGCGACCAAGCGUACACGGUGGAUGCCCUGGCAGUCAGAGGCGAUGAAGGACGUGCUAAUCUGCGAAAAGCGCCGGUAAGGUGAUAUGAACCGUUAUAACCGGCGAUGUCCGAAUGGGGAAACCCAGUGUGACUCGUCACACUAUCAUUAACUGAAUCCAUAGGUUAAUGAGGCGAACCGGGGGAACUGAAACAUCUAAGUACCCCGAGGAAAAGAAAUCAACCGAGAUUCCCCCAGUAGCGGCGAGCGAACGGGGAGGAGCCCAGAGCCUGAAUCAGCAUGUGUGUUAGUGGAAGCGUCUGGA
rnacentral:rRNA from 1 species